CUUUUUCGCUAGCGUUUAAGUUGAUGCCAAUAAAAUCAGUUGAAUCAAACCUGGGACGGAAACGAUUCGUUUCCUCUAUGUAUUAAUCGGAUUUUAGAACUUGGAGUAUGGUGCUGGAGCUUGCUCCACCCUGCUCACGGGUGGUCCUGGUAUUGCAGUACCUCCAG
rnacentral:snRNA from 1 species